AUAAACUAGGCGCUCAAAUUUUCACUAAUUCCUUCUACUUUUUUCACCAAAUUUUAAAACACCUACACGUGUAGUGUACUGCUUUCAUUUCAAGGGGAAUUUUUUUUUUUUUUCAAAAAAAGGAAAUGAACAAGCUGGUCUUCUCUCUCCUCGAUUCCCCCAUUUCCAUAUUUCCAUUCAUACUUUCAGACAAAACUCAAAAACCUUAGAGUAGAUAAUUUCACCCAAAAUUGGGUAGUAAAAUUUCACAAAAAAUCAGAGGAAAAUUAAGACAAUUCGACAUGAAAAAACUAUAGAAGUAGAUGAAAGUGGUGUUCAUUUGCUCGAUCCAUUAAAGCGGGGGUGUGUUGCUUGAGGCGGUGGUUGUUUCAGUUAGAGGUGGCUCGAUAAUCUGCGUGUGGAAAAUUUUAAUUGUUCGGUUUGCUUACAGUAUCCUAUCCUUUCCGACGAGGCUCUUGUUCACCGGCGCUGCGGCACCCCUUGGCCUUGCUAGCUCGAGGUAUGUCAUAUUGUCAUGAAAGUUUGCUUAACCAUUAUAUGAGCAUGUUUGAAUUUAUCAAUCUAGCUAAUUUUUGGGAAAUUUUUAUAACAAAAAUCAUAAAGUUUUACAUCUAAUUGUAUGGGGCUUUAAAUUUGACUAAUUUAUGGGAUUCUUGUUGUUCAAUGAGCAUGUUGGUUGUACAUUGUCCCUUUGUUGGUAUUAAAACUAUUAAUGGCCCAUAAUGAAAACUUGAAAGCAUAGUCAGUCAGGGUGAUUGUGUUUAUGUGAUUUGUAGUUUGGUCUCUUCUUUUCAUUCUUUUUUUUGUCAAGUAUGAGAGUGUGAAAAGCAGAUGCUAGAAAGGGAAAAUUGGAAUGUCAUGUGAAUGAAAAGAAAGAAAAAAGAAAGAAAAGCUAACAGCUAGUGUUAACUCACAACAAACCUCUAAUUCCUAUAUAGGGAUGAAUUCCUGAAAUUAGGACACUUUAAAUUGUUGUUCAUUUGUUGGAAUUAAAUAAUCUGAAUGAGAACUACUACAACUAAUUUAGUUUGAAUGAUAGCUUUUCCAAGUAUUCUUUUUAAUGAUAUUGUAGUACUUGGGUAUUGUUACUUUUCCAACUCACCUUAUUACCAUCAUCUUAGUUUCAAGGUGGGCCGGAACACAGUGAUGUAAUGAACUCAAUACUCUUUGUAUAAUGACCAUUAUUUAUUGGUUCGGGUACAUUGAAUGGGUAUAUAUAUUUUCUGUAUUCUCAUGCCCCUGUGGUGUAUUGGUACUGAUAUGUCCCUACACUCAGAAUAACUCCUGUAAUCGUUUAAGUGUUUUACGAGAUAAAACAUGAAUCCACAAUUCCACACUGAUCUUUGUCUACUUAUUUGUCAGGACUCCCUAUGUUUUCAAAUAUUAUAUCUACAUUUUGCUGUCUUGUUGUGCUUAUAAUCAGAUUACUUUCUGAUCUUCAAGAAAAUUUGUAGACAUUAUGAACCAUAUCAAUAACCCGAGUCUUUUCCCUAGGCCUAGAUCCUUCUAUGCAAUCUGGGGAAGCGAACAACAAACGGUGAAGCUCAUUAUAAAUCUGUAAAUAACUCACUAUUACAUCAUGUAGCCAAAAUAAGAUUUUAUUGCAUUACUUCUCAUAUCUCUAAAAUCUAACAUGUUUAUAUAUUUGACUUUAGUUGAUUCCUCUUAUCUCUUCCCCUAAUAGAAAUAAGUAGGAGAGAAUUCCGUUUUAAACCUUUUUAAUAAUUUCAUAUAACAAUUAGGCUAAAGUACUUGCUUGUAUUUGAUCUUUUGUUGCUAUAGAUGAAAGGUAAUAAGUCUAUAUUUUCAACACAACGAAAUCAACUUUCAGAAUAUGAAUGACUUCGAUUUGAGAAAUUAGAAAAGAAUGUAGAACGAAUGAAGGCUAAAGGUAGUUCAGGAGCAGAACUCUUCGCUAACAAGAUUUUGCAAGAAAAAAACUCGUUCUCUGUUUUUGGUAAAAAUACCAAGGCCACGUGGCCUAAGAGGGUGACACGUGUCACCUUAGGAGAGGUUCAAAAUGAACCAAUCCUCAACAUGUGGCACUCCCAAUCAGUAGGGAAAAAGACGGCCUUUAGGGCCCAAUUCCCGAGAAAAGCCGUAAAAUGGCGCAGCCCCCCAAAUAUAGGUCAAAAUGACCUAAGUAGGGGCACAUUUACUAACGACCCUAUAAAUACGGAGAUUUACCCUAUUUUGGGGACACGUUCUUUUAUUACACAUAAUUAAUUCUCUCACAUAAGAGAAAACACCUGAUCUCGAGAUCUGAGAAGGUCUACUUUUGCUUUAUGCACUUUUUACCUUACUCCGAAGACUUUCUAACUUGAUCGUCAGAGGCGGAACUCCGAACAACCGGAGUAUCCGUUGUUUUGCAGGUACAGCCGGCGGGAAAAAAGUCUUGGUGAUGUAACUCUCUCGGGGGACACAAAAAUCCCCGAAACAUUUGACGCCAUCAGUGGGGAGAGUACCUCUAAGAUGGUUUCUCAAGAGACUGUUACGCCUCCUGAGAACAAGGAGCCUACGACUGAGGUCUAUUCAACAAAGCUAAUUGAAAGUCAAAUGCAUUCAACAAAGCUACUUCUAGCCUACUCUUGAGGCAGACGCCAUGGAAAAGGUGAAGAGGUGUGAUAAAUGUCAGAUUUGGCAAACUCGUAUACCACCCGACAACUGAUCUGAAGGCCAUUCAUAGCCCAGUACCAUUCGCCAAAUGGGGCAUGGACAUUCUAGGUCUGUAUACGCCUACGCCAGGCGGACGACAGUUUAUUCUAGUUGUCAUUGACUAUUUCACCAAGUGGGUAGAGGCAGAGGCGGUCAAAGGCAUCAAGACAAAGGAUGUCAUCUCCUUCAUCUGGAAGAACAUCAUCACCCGGUUCGGGGUACCUAUGUCUUUGGUUUUUAACAAUGGCCCCCAGUUUGAGAUGCCUACCUUUAAGAACUGGUUGUGAGACUAAGGGAUCUCUCAUUGUUGUGCAUCAGUCAGCCGUCCCCAAGCAAAUGGCCAGGUUGAAGCCUUCAACAAGCUAAUCUCAGACGACAUAAAAAAGAAAAUUGAAAGGGCUGACAGUCUAUGGGCAGAAGAGUUAACUCAUGUCCUAUGGGCCAUCAGAACAACAACAAAGGGGGCAACCGUCGAAACCCCAUUUCUUAUAGUGUACGGUGCUAAAGCCGUCUUGCCUAUUUAACAUUAUGAGCCAACUCUUCGAGUCAUGUUGUAUGAUGAAGAGGCAAACUAGGAGGCCAUGCGGCUAGCAUGGGACUCACUUCCAGAACGCAGGGGUAAUGCCGCCUUUUUUCAUGAGAUAUACCGUCUGAGAAUGAAAAGAGUCUACAACAAAAGAGUGCGCAAACGGCCCUUGAAAGGAGAGGACUUUGUGUUACGGAAAAUGGAGGCAACCGGUAGGGCCAAUGAGCAAGGCAAGUUGACGCCCAAUUGGGAAGGUCCCUACUGGAUCUAUGAAGAAGUAAGAGGCGACACCUACCGCCUGGAAACUUCAGAUGGUAGGAAGCUAACCAGAACUUGGAAUGUUGACAAUCUAAAGAUGUACUACUUCUAAGACUUAAAAAUUUUUUGUAAAUGAAAAGCCUAUAAUGAAAAAUUGCUUUUUGUUUUCAAUUUUGAUUACUUAUGCUUUAUUAGAUAAGUCUCCCAAUGGGAACACCGCCUGUGCAAUCAAACUGUCAAAUCUAAACCAGCCGUCUGCUCCAACAUGAGUACGACAUCCGGCGACGCCCAUCCGGGUGAUUUGAUCGCAGAGAGCAUCUCACAUUUAGGUGGCACAUUGCUUUAUAAACUCAAACACAAACGACAAAGACUGACUAACCUAAUAGGGGCUAGUUCACAGUCGUUUGACUCGAAUAAUCUAAAAUGGAACUUAGACGGCUUAAAAAAACCACAUGUCCUAUUUGACAUCACGCGGUAUCCGGCUGUAUCCAACUUAGAUUAAAAGCUCAUAAUAAUUUUGUAACUCGAGAAAUCCCUCAAUGGGGAAAAAGGACGCUUGAGUAUAUUCAUGGAUAAUCAAGUCCAAUUUCACAGAUGACCCAAACGGUGAACGUCUGGGUGUUUAAGAUAUUACCGCCUGAAUCUUGGACAGUUGUGUACUUGGCUUGGGGAAAUCGUGGUAGUGAUUGAUUGACCUAGGAACCUCUCAUACUCUUUAAAGUAUCAAAAGUUUCUCAAGUCAAUCGAUCUAUUUUGAAACCAACCACACUGCCGCCUGGGGCAAGAGGCCAGCCUGUUUGUUAGUUGCCGCAUGCAAUUAAUAAGUUAGGAAAGAUUGAAGCAUAUAUAUGGAAAAAGUCAUAAAUUGCAAGAAUUGAAAAUUUUAACAAAAUCGACUCAGUCAGUCAUUUUAAAUAAAAUCCAACCAAAAGGUUGGGAGAGUGAUUGUCAUACUGAAUUUACAUCUGGGAAAAUAAAAAGAAAUGUUGGAAAUACAUCAGAGAUACUCGGCACGCCAGCCAGAAAUACAAACGGCCAAAGGCCAAAUAGAAAUAAGGAAAGCUAAUUUUGCUGAGGCGGGGCCACCGACGCAUCCUUCCCAGGCGGAGGUAAAGCAGAGUUCACCUGUGCAUCCUCUUCCUGUUGCUCUUAAUCCUCUCCCUCCCCUGCAACCUGAGCUGGCUCCUCAUCGUUUGAGGCCUCCUUGUUUGCCCAUUCCUCAAAUCAGGCUCCGGCUUCCCUUUAGCCCUUGUAGAAAGAACAAGAUCUACGUACUGGUAGGCCAAAGCCUAGACGCCAAGGUCCCAUGCCAUCCUCAUCCGGUCCUCACAGUCUUGUUCAUUCUCCUCAAUGAGGCAGCUUGAGUAACCCUGAAGAUUUCCUGGGAAGCAGCCAUCUCAUCCUUCAGACGGUUGACGUCUGCUCGAUGGGUGGUGUUUUCCUUGUCGGCGCCCUCCAGAGCUUUGAGGUCCGCCUGGGCAUUCUUGAGCGCCGCCUAAAAAUUGGUGGCUUUCAAGUUAGCCUCAUCAAGAGCAGUCGUCAGCCGCCUGAUGGAUUCCGCUUGUGUCAUUAGCUUAGCUUUAAUCUCAGAUCAUUUAUGGUCUUCUGAUACUGGGAAACGUUAGCGGCCUCAUUCGCCCGUUUAUCGGCCCUCCUUACCUCUUCUUGAUUGCGAGCAUACGACUUCUUCAGCCCAUCUAUUCUCAGCAUCAUCUGUAUAAAUGCGAACGGUAUGUUAGAAACACAAUCGGCAUUAUACUUGAAAGAAUCUGAAUUAAGUUAUUAUACCUCAGAAAGCAGGGUGAGAAUGCGUUCGACAUUGAACGAAUGAAUCCCAGGGAUGGCCUCCUUAUCCUCCUUGGGUAUAGACCUCAGCAUGGUCUAAGAUAAUUGUUGCACAUUCGGCCACCGGAGGGAUCGAUAAGGUAGAUUUGGUGAGAAAGCUACAUAGGCGCCACCAAUAGUCUGUCGGCUGCCUGAGGAACCCUUCGACUGUAGCUAAGAACGUGACUUGACCCGCAUAGGCCAACCAAGCUCAAAGGGGGAGUCGAAGGGGUCAUCCGUACCUUGGGGAUGUUGCUGAAGGCUUAGAUCGCCCACAUCCGCUGCAGAACCGCUUACAGCUUUGGGUGGCUCGCCACCCUUCGCCACCUCAAAGGCACCCGGCUUGUUGGAUAGGUCUAUCCUAAGACCAAGGUUCUUGAUACUCUUCCCGCCGAUGGUUAGACGACCCUUCCCAAGCAGAAACUCCGGAGCCGUCUGAAUAAAAGAAACCUUUCUAGACUUGGCCGAGCUUGUGAUCCAGCUUCCGUUUGAUUAGCUUGGUAAGGGAUCUAGGAGCCCCCUUGUCUCCAUCCUGGAUAGGAAAAUUCAAACAAUAAGUAUAUAAUCGGUCAUAACCGUCUCUAUAUGCAAAGAGAGAGAAGACUAUUGCAGGCGGUUCAUACCUGACCCUUGGCCGCCAGCUAGACGUUCUUUUUCUCUGCAUUCUCCUUUCUUAUUUGAGCUGUAGAGCAGGCGGACAAGAACGCCUCGUCUCUCAACCACUCAUGCUUGGGUACUCAGUUUUUGGGUACGCUUAUAACUUGGUGGUUGCUAGGGGCAUGGUAGUCACCCCGAAGAAAUCAGGCUCUAUUAUUGCCUCCCAGUCGGCGUCUGGAACCUUAGGUUUGGCACACUUUUGGCCCAAAAGAUCCGGCUUCUUAUUGUAGCAGCGAUACUCGAAGUUUUCUCGUCGUUUGGGGGCAUAAACAAGAUAAAACUUGUUUCUCCAAUCAGACCACUUAGACGGUUUGUCUAAGGUCAUGAAGUAUUUCGGAUGGGUUGUCAAGGUGUACCAAGCACUCCAGCUGCCUGGGUUACGGCUCAAGUAAUGCAUAUGAGCAAAAGCCUCUCAGUUGAGAUGGAGGUUCUGCAUCUCACAGGCGGCAAUGUAGCCUAGAAUGUUGACCUAGGAGUUUGGGGUCAACUGCCACACACCAAGGCCGUAUCCUCGAAGGAUUGCCUUUAUUGCAUCAUGGAGGGCGAAGCAGAGACCGGCUAGGAACACCGCCUCAUAUUAGCUAAAGUACUCAUUGGCGUUUGGUUGGUUAUCUUUCCAUGCAAUGGUGCCAAGCUCAGGCGGCACCCGUAUGGCAUAGCCCUCUCCAAGAGGACGCUUCUUCCUGAAGUUCUCCAAACCUUGUUCCAUGUUGGCCCUAUCCCUGGCAUGUUAAGGGGUCCGUCUCUUUAUUCCACUUCUUUUGCUCCUCUUCCUCAGUAUCCUCAAGCGGGGAUAAUGAGCCACUACUCUCCUCAGUGCUAGACCUAGAGGCGGUCUCUCCACCGUCUCACUCUAAGCUGGUACAGAGCCGGUCUCUUCACCGUCUCUUUGUUCAAACUCAACUUCAUCAGAUUCCUCCGGGAUACUAUCACUAGGAGUGUUAGGUGCACCCAGAGGAGACUAUCUUUCCUCGCUAGCCGGUUCUACCUCAUCAGGCGGAACACCGUCUGUAUCUUCCUCUCUAUAGUCUAGAUCAGGUGUCGUCCUCAUGGUUCCAGCCAUUGUGGCCCAAUAAGAGGGUGACACAUGUCACCUUAGGAGAGGUUCAAAAUGAACCAAUCCUGUGGCACUCCUAAUCAGUAGGGAAAAAGACAGCCUUUAGGGCCCAAUUCCCGAGAAAAGCCGCAAAACGGCGCAUCCCCCCAAAUCUAGGUCAGAAUAACCUAGGUAGAGGCACAUUUACCAACGACCCUAUAAAUAGGAGAUAUCCCCCAUUUUGAGGACACGUUCUUUUAUUACACACAAUCAAUUCUCUCACAUCAGAGAAAACACCUGAUCUCGGGAUCCGAGAAGAUCUACUUUUACUUUCCGCACUUUUUACAUCACUCCGAACACUUUCUAACUUGAUUGUCAGAGGCAGAAUUCCGAACACCCGGAGCUUUCGUUGUUUUGCAGGUAUAGCCGGCGGGAAAUUAGUCUUGGUGACGUAACUCUCCCGAGGGACACAAAAAGCCCCAAAACAGUCUCGAUGUUCAAAAUGGAAAGUGCAAUGAACUAGUGAAAGACAAGGAUAAUGAGUCAACGUCUGAAUAUCAUUGGCAUGCUGAUGAGGAUGAAACCCCUGGUGAUAUGGAAACUGAAAAUAUCACUUGUCGAAAUGAAAGGUUUUAGCUCGGGCGCAAACGAUGGGUGAAUUUUUGAGGAAAAAUAAUCCUACACGAAAGCAUCAUCAAGUCCAGCAAAAUUGUGUUUAGAAGGUUCAAGAACAAUGUAACUAGAAGAAGCAACCAACAUUGAAUCAUCCUGAGAAAGAGCAACAAAGUUUAAUAUCACAAAAAAGGCAGAAAAAGAGGCCACUCUGUUCUUUAGGGUCCAUGUCAGCGUAUCUUGAGCUCCAAAGAAGCAAUUAGAAAAUAAUGACAUGGUUGCAACAGAUAAAACUCAUACAACCAUAUUAAGAGAUGAAAAUUGCAAUGAUCUGCAACAAGUUCAAUGACGACUUUAACUAUGUUAAUUAUCAAUUGGAAAUGGAGGUACUAGCUGAAUAUGGAAAGGAGGAGUUUAAAAAGAAGAAGCAUCGAGGGCCAAUAAAGCUUACAAAGGUUCAUGCUCGUACAAGAGAGGAGCACCAAGUUAUUAUUUUGAACUCAUUUGGCCAACCAAUUGGACCUACAAAGGAAAUUGUUGAAAAAUUUAUGUUCUUCUUGGGAACUUUGGGGAAGAAGUUUGAACUUGCGCCACUUAACUACACUGAUUUUCGAAAUCUGCCCACUCUUAGUAAGAUAUGGGAGUUUGUUUUGGAAAAGUAUAUGGUUCCUAAAUCGGGAAGACGAUAUGUAAUGGAGGCUGUUAAUACAAGUUGGCGUAACUAUAAAUACAGAUUCAAGAAGAAUCAGUUUUCUAAGUAUGACACUGAUGAGGAAUAAAAUAAAAUCAAUAGAGAGAACCGUCUUAAGUUAAAUGAUAUACACACGAUGGGCCGUAAGUCAUUUGCAAUAUUACGUCAUGAAUUGCAACAACUGGAUCCAAACAAACAAGAACCUUCCCAAGCAAAGGUUUACAAAGAAUCAAGGAGAGAAGGGUUCCAGGAAGGACAUACCUUACCAACAAUGAAAAGCCUGAACAAAAUAUUGAAAAGAUGGAUGCAUUAGAGUGCACCUAAGAUGAAGAAGGUAGCAACUCCAAAGAUCCUUACUCUGAAUUAGUAAAAGAUCCUAAAAGCAAAAGUAGGAUUCGACUUUUAAGAAAAGGUGUGACGAAGACUGAUUUAAAAAAAAAAAAAGGGAUGAAAAUGCAAGUUGUAUUAUUCCAAAUGAGUUCUUACAGAGUAUAAAAUCAGAGUUGGUCAACAACUUGCACCAAGCAUUGGAUCUGUCAUUAUGUCCCAACUUCAAGAAGCUAAUCCCGAAGUAAAUCUUGUCAUUCCUGAAUUUUUGAGUCAAAUAAUUCCAAGGGAUGCAUCUUCUACACUGCAUAAUGGGCAAUCUUCUGGUGUGACUGUUGUUGGGAAUGUGAAUCAGGUUAUCAAUGCAUUAUCUUGUUGCCAUUGUGUUAAAUCUUAGACUUGAUAUAUCAAUCUUUGUCAUUCCAAUUAUCACCAUUGUAGAUUGCUUAUAUCAUGGAUAGUAAAAUACUAAGUCUAGUAGUCAAAUAAUUUACGAAAUGAUGAGUAAAUUUCACUAAAAUUAGGUUGUCACAAAAACCUAAAGUAGCUACAACUCAUACUAGUAUGGUAACUGAUAAAAUUAGGACUUUCGUACUACUUGCUCUUAAAUGGAUGUCCCCUAUCAUAGCUUUGUUUCCUGCCCAUCCCAAACAAUAAUUCAUUAUUAAAUAUCGUUAAGAUUAAAAUUA